UUAAGUAUGUAACAAGUAACAAGAUAAUUUUAUGAUCACAGAAAUAAUAGUGAAAACUGUUGAUCGCAAAGAAACUAUUUGACCUAUUUUCACAUU